rnacentral:rRNA from 1 species
GAUGAACGCUGGCGGCGUGCCUAACACAUGCAAGUCGAACGGAGUCCAGCCUUUAAGCUCUUCGGGUCAAAGAGGGGAAGACUGAGUGGCGGACGGGUGAGUAACACGUGGGCAACCUGGCUCAUAGAGGGGGAUAACAGAGAGAAAUUUCUGCUAAUACCGCAUAAGCACACACUGCCGCAUGGCAGAGGGUGAAAAGAGAAUCGCUAUGAGAUGGACCCGCGUCUGAUUAGCCAGUUGGCAGGGUAAGAGCCUACCAAAGCGACGAUCAGUAGCCGAUCUGAGAGGAUGAACGGCCACAUUGGGACUGAGACACGGCCCAAACUCCUACGGGAGGCAGCAGUGGGGGAUAUUGCACAAUGGGGGGAACCCUGAUGCAGCGACGCCGCGUGAGUGAAGAAGUAUUUCGGUAUGUAAAGCUCUAUCAGCAGGGAAGAUAAUGACAGUACCUGAAGAAGAAGCCCCGGCUAACUACGUG